rnacentral:pre_miRNA from 1 species
AGUAGACUGGCUGGGUUAUAUGGUAACUCUGUGUUUAACUUUUUGAGAAACUCAAAAUGGUUUCCCAAGAGCUGUACCAUUUUAUAUUCCCACCAGCAAC